ensembl:lncRNA
UAGUUUAUUAGCUUGACUUCACCACCUGUGAAGGUAUCUCCAGAGGUAAAUUGAUUAAAUAGCUACCUCUUUUGAAUUGUCAACUGUCUGUAUUGUAUCAGGACCUUUAUGAUGCAUAUGAUAUUUAUUUGUAAAUGCACAGCGUAAUUAUAUAUAUUUUUAUCUUGGUAGACGACCGAUAGCCUGCUGGUUUGUUAGCUCGACUUCGCCAUGUGAAGGUAUCUACACAAACAAUUACGAAGUUCAGUAGUGAAUCUAACUUUUAUUUAGUUAGUUAUUUAUGUUGGAUUACUAGGAUCAUUUAGGUUGAUUUAAGGACGUGUUUUAUGAUGCGACAGCUAGUAGAAAUAACAGUGUGUUUGUUUAAUUAUAUCCUGGAAAGGGUGAUGUUCAGCACAUGAAGCCCUACAGAUGCCGCCGCUUCAACAAUGCUGAUUAUGAUGGGCGGUGAAUUUAACCUUUGCCUUAUUAAGUCCUCCACAGUAGCCCCAUCAGUCCCUGGCAGUCUGGUCCCUGGAGCAGCUGGCCCUGGAUCACCUGGCCCUGGAUCACCUGCCCCUGGAUCACCUGCCCCUGAAUCACCUGCCCCUGGCAAAGUGGCCUCUUGAUUGCUCUCUCUGUCAUGUCCUUUUCAUCGCUCUUGAAAUCCACCUCAAUUUCUCCCUCAAUCUCUGCAACAAUUACAAGGUAAUGUUGCUGUUAUAUGUAUUUUCCCUUUGCAUUUGCAACUACUGUCAUCUCCAAUGUAAGGCAAUGUUAGAAAAUUAAUUAAAGCAAAACAUUUCUGUAAUGUGAAUUAAAUCAUCUGCCACAAUCAGAAACCAAUGAAAUAUAAAUGGAUCUACCGGCAAUUGUUAAUUGGGUAGAAAUGCGUCGAUUAUCUACAUUUUGUGCAAAUUCUCAGAGAAUCCCUGACCUCUGGUUGAUUCUUAAACUGAAUGUACAAAUAUGAAUUAUGUAAUCUCAUUAGGAGUGUAGUCUAUCCUUGAAUUACAUGAAAUGGGGAAUAUUGUUAGCUGCAUGGAUCAUACUGAAGUUUAAUUUGGCGCAAUAUGUGUGGUCCGUUGCACUUGGUUCUGGAGGCACCCUCACAGAAGUGGGUUUCCUCCUCUUCGGCUUAGGGCGAUGAAUGAAAACUGUUGGAACUGCAUCGGGCCUCAACUUCAACAUCCCUUCUCUUUUUGUGGCAGUGAAUUGGUCAUCUUCAAAGUGUACCUGUAGGUAGGCUUGUAAGAUCAGUUUUCAUUGCACUUCAAAUAUCAUUGAAAAGUCAUAAUUCUCUACACUUAGAAUCAUUAUGCCCUUUGAAAUGCUAUCAAGUGAUGCGAACAUUACUUACAUAACAUAGUUUUUGACUGUUGCUGACCCCUGUCACUUGUACGUUUUGACGGCUGACCAUUGCCAUCCAUUUCUUCCUGCGCUCUUGGUCCUUGGGGAAGCCAUACAUGUGGUAACCCUUCUCGGACCGAUUGGAGCAUCCAUACACUGCACAGCCAACCAUGGUAUGACCAUUGAUCUAAACCAAUUUUGAAUUUGCUCAGG